UAGAGAGAAAGAGGUGAAAUGAGUAUCAAAAUUCAAAUCUUGUACUACGCAUGAGUAUCAUAAUGAUGAUGAUGAUGAUGAUGAUGAUGAUGGGGAAUGUUUUCAUGACAAAACCAUUAAUAUUAUUUUAAAUUGUUCUGCAUGCUAAAUAUACUCCCUCUGUUUAUCUUUAUAAGGCGCACACGCAUAUCAAGAUUUAAACUUUGCUAUUUUUGACAAACAAUUUAACUAAUAAUUUUUAUUUUUAUGAUGUAAACUUGAAAUGGUUGGAUUUCUAAUCAAAUGUACUCUCCAAAGAUUAUAAGUUUAUAAACUAAAACAUAUAAUAUAAAAGAAAUUAAUGGUCAAAGUGUAAUUUGGAAGACCGUACCAUGUCAUAUCACGUCUUAUAAAAUAAACGAAGGAAGUAAUAGUUUAUUUUUAUUUAGGGGUAUUGGUCAUUCC
rnacentral:lncRNA from 1 species